ACUAAAGAUGAGACCAAGAAAAUGCAGAAGAGUGAGGAGGAGUGACUGACAGUUGAGUCAGAAAGUGUUUCUCUGUGUUCAGCAACUGCCUGAAUUUGACCUAGCUGGGAUUGUGUGGCAGUUGGAAAAACAUUUUUUUUCCCACGAAGUUUCUUCAGUAGAUGUUGUAGGGUCAUUUAUCUUUUUUUUUUUUCUUCCUUUUUUUUUUUUUUUUUUCUUAGUGAAAUAACUCAACAUUGAAUACGUCUUGGAGACUCAAUCUAUUAGAACACCUUCCUAGGAAGAACUUUCUAUCUUGAUCACAAGCACUUCUUUGGGGUCACAGAGAGAUUCAAGAACAUUAUACUGGGAUCAAUUUCUGUUUUGUCACCACUCCUCCCAAGAUCAAGCCCUGAGCAAAUGAUAAAGCCCAUCAGUCUCUGCGGUGGAUGUACAAAGGUUUAUGCUGCACAAUUCACAUGGAAGAGGAGAGAAGGUAGGAGUGAGAUGGCUACUUCCCACUUUGUACAAGACUUUGAAAAUGUAGCGGACUUAAUUAAAAUCAAACCUGUGGAUCUAUAGGGGAAAAGUCCACCUUUCCUCCUUUAACAAAAGAUAGCGCUCAGCCUGCAAAAUCUUCUCACUUGCACUUCAGGUUUAAGUCCCUUUGUAUGUCACAGGGGAAAUUCUUUUCCUUGAUAAUCUCCUUGCUGGCCCAUAGGUAAUUGAACAGCAGAUCCACACAGUAAACCCUUCAAAGGAAUUACAAGGAUUACACAUCUCAUAUUCACCUUGUUUCACCCUCUGCAGAUGUUGAAUGUGAGCCAUCAGUUUCUUCCUAAUCCAUGUAACUCAGAUACGUGGAGCUUUCUGUCAGAUACCUCACCCGUUUUCCUUCUUUGCCUAGCAACUGUUUCAGAACUGAACUCAACAUUUUAUACAAAAGUUAGCUCAAGAAGCAGACAGGGCUAUUCAAGAGAGAAAUGUGAGAAAUGGCUGUUCAAGAAGAAAGGGGGAAAGUAUAAAAUAGGUGUAGAGGAGAUUCUUAAGGGACUGGAGAGGGCUGUGGCUUGAUCCAUAGGCUGGUAUGUGCCAUCCCAUCUGUGGGCUAAAAGUCAGAUAAACACGAACCACUCUGCUGGCUGACAACACACCUUGAGCAAAGGACAGAAUGUGGUGACAUUCUGCAAGCAUUUAUUGGCUGUAGAUGCAAGGGAGAGCAGUGAAUUUAAUUAGUGUAGGCAUUUUACAGAGGUGAACUAAAAAGUACAUUGAUUAAAAAAAAAAAAAAAAAAAAGUGUUUCCUGAAUAGGCUAAGAAAAUAUCUCUAAGAGAUCUGUCAUUAAAGUCCCCUGGCAGCUAAGAAAAUAUGUGAUCUCCUUAGAAACUAGAGAAAAAAUGGUAUGACUAGAAGUUGGAAAAUCAUUACCUACUGAUUUUUAAGUAGAUGUAGAUCGUAAGGAACAUCUUGAAGGCAGUAUCUUCCCCAUAAACUAGCUGUCACAGGAUACAUGCACCGUAUUUAGAAACUAAUGCACCUGGAGUUGCAUCUCUGUGAGACAAUGCUGUGAGUCUGUUCGUCAGUUCACAGUAGCAUAGGAAGUCUUGCUGUUUUGAAAAACCACAGCACAGAUGAAGUCAGAGAAUAUGGGAUGUGUAACGGGAACUAAGCAUGUCACACCGUGAGAAGAACAUAAGAUCAUGAUUGGCUUUCUCUCAUUGUCUUUUUGUUUAUAGUGUCAGUCUCUACCUCUUCUCUACUCCGUAUCUGAUCCAGUUUGCCUUAAAGGUAAUUUCUUGAGGUCAGAGAAUGAUCCUUAGGAACAUCUGUGAUUCAAAUCUGACAGUAAGACAAAAAGCUCAAUACCUCAUACCAUGAUGUAUGAAAUUCUUCAACAUGGGUCAAUAAAGCUGCAUCUUAACAGAGAUUUGGUCUGCAAAUGGGUAAGAAAGAAACGAUGGAGAUAUGAUCCCUGACAUGUCACAUAGCUUGAAGGCCCGAGCAUUUUAAAAUUGAUCCACAGAAAUUCCUUGUGCUGCAGCACAAUGCUGUCAAGUGGCAGAGGAAAGAGGCAAUAGUCAGAUCAAAAAGUGUCUCGCCUAAUGUGUAAACAAAUGAGAGGAUAAUUUCCGUUGAGCACUCUGAAGUGAGCCAGAAUUAUUACAAAAAUGGAUCUAUAAACAUAAUGUUGCUGGAGUCAAUGUUUAUUUGAGUCAGUGUUUAUUGUCCUUUGAUGACUUUUCUAUCAAACGUACUCUGUUUAUAAGUAGCACUGAAGUGUUCAGUAAAUACACUGGAAACUCAUCCUGAUUAGCAAGUUGGAUUCUUUCUGGCUCCAGCAUCAUUGCCAGUAAUAGGCUCAGGGAGCAGAGCUUCAUUAAACUUCUGUUGACAAUUCAUGUAGCACAUUGAAUCCUAGCUUCCUUUUGUAUGGCUGCUUGAGCUUGGCAAGCCUAAAGGGGUCAGAAGUUCAUGAAUCUCCUCACUUGGUGAACAGGGCUCUGAUCCAUAAAAGGGAAUAUUUUGGAACAAAUAUGGCUAAGAGCAAGUUCUAAGUUCAGGUGGGAUUCAUCUUUCUUAUCUUUCACUGUUUGAAUCUCAGGUAACUUGAUAAAGGUAAUCUUCAGGCUCCCAGAGAGGGAGAAGUUAACCGACCACAAGUCAUCCUCUCUGUGUUAGACAUUUCAAUAAAUGGAUGCCAAUUUGAAGGCAUCCAUCUCUCUACUUUGACUAUAGGGAAAACUUAAGAGAUUACAUGGGAUGUAUAACUCAAAUUACUCAAAUCUGGGGAGAGAAAUCUCUUCUAAGAGCCUGCUAGAGACUGCUUCAGUGAUAACUUCUCCACUCAAAGGUCAUGCUUCAUCUAAUAGUUUCAUAACAUUCAACCUUUGCUUGUAUUACAUUCAGUCUUUACUCAUUUGGGAAGAAUGAAUCAUGCAUAGCAGAACCUGAAGCUUUCUAUUACACAUCAGCAAGGUAUUAGGUCCCAAAACAGUUUUUAUUGAAUAGCCAAAUGUCAUUAACUGUAUUGAUGGGAAAGAGUGAAGGGUGAAAAGGUAUGUACACUGAUACUGCAGUUACCUUUGUACAGUGCUAACUCCAUCAGACUGUAUAACCUUCUGUAUAACUAGCAAGAUGAAAUAUACAGCCAUAUGCAUAUCUGCUUUCAUUCAGCUGUCAGUAACAAGUAAAGGACAACUCCUUUUUACCCUUGUCCCCUGCCUUCUUUUCAUAUACUCAUGGUACACACUUUUUUUUCCUUCAGGAUGAUGAUGAAAAUUCUAGAAGCUCAAGAGAAAAUCAUCUGAAGGGCAACACAAAUCUUCACACAAAGAAUAGCCUAUGUUUUGCCUGACAGUCUCUCCUUUUUUGUAUCCUGACAGAUGAACAUGAUGCACCAUAAAAGUUGUGAACUGAAAAUGAAAACAAGACAGAAUAGAAGAGUCUGAAUUGAAGAAAACCCAGAGAUCAAUACCAUAGCGUGAUAUAACCGUGUUCAUAGAAAUAAAAACUCUUGGAACAGAAAUUAUUUAUUACUCCAGAGCAGCAUAAUUUAAAUAUGUGAAAAUAGAGCAACAUUGAAGGGGAAGAUUAGAGCCAAAUUAUGUGUCCAGAUCUGUUUAGGGGAGAAUAUUUUUGUUCCCCAGGCUGGUUGGCCAUAACUUGACAAGAUCAGGUUUGAUGAAGGUUUGUAAGGUAUCAAAAGUGAUACUAAGAGAUGUUUGUCAUGUACUUUCUGUACGUCUUAAUUUUUCUUUCUCACCUCUGGCUAUCUACAGUAACUCCCUUGAAGUUUAGGAAUACAACAUUUCCCUGCUGAGAUUAUCCUCUCCCAGACAGUACAUACAAUUUAUCCUGUUUUACCUCAUCCCUGCUAUGUCUCAUUCAUUACAUCAGAGCCUAGACUGUCUCUAACUUUUUGUUUCUUCCUUUCGAAUGCAGGACUAUUACUGAAGACGUCAGCGGAGACACAGCAAGAUAUGGAAAAAGCCCAACAGAGUAGAAUAUCCCCAAAUGGGAGAACAGCGAAAAGCAGGAAGUUAUUCUCAGAAAAAAUGCUUUGUUCAUUCAGAGAACUGUGCUGCAUUAUUGGUUUUGUCAUGGACUUUGUUGGCUCUUGACCACCUAAUCAUUUAGUGCCUCUACUUCCUCCUUAAAGUAGGAUUAUUCUUAGUAAUGGUGGUUAUUUAUAGCAGUGCUGGAGUCUGAAAAGAGUAAUUUUUUCUGCUACUGCAACUGAAGAUUCUACACAGAGGGCUACUACCUUCCUUUCUGGUUUUCAACUGGCGCUCCCAUCUCCUUCAUAAAAGAAGGAUGUGAACAGAAGAGACUAGAGAUAUUUGAAUGGCAUCAAGAGCAACUUUCUGUAGAAUUUUUGAGUUCCUAAAUGAUUUGAUACAGGCUGCAAACACAGGCCUUUCAGGAUCGUUGUCAGCAAACACCAACAAGACAGAGACUUAAUUGUAUAUUCACCCACAGAAAAUUAGUUUGAAGAUUCUGUGUCCUUUCAUCUGGUGAAGGUGAAUUUUAAAUUCACUUUUUGGAAGUAUCUGUACUGGAUGAUUAAGGCUUGCACUCCUACAAAUGUGGAAUAGAAACACUACCUCUAAUUGUGUUAUAACUUUAUGGGUCUCUUGCGAAUAGCAAACUGCUGAUAAAAGCAGUCUUGUAAAAAUAUCAUCAAAUACUUUUGGAUAACAAAGUGAUCUGUAGCAAUCAGAAUCUGCUAGUGGCUGUGUCUACAAAGCACAGAGAGAAGACCAUCAGGCAAAGAUUUUACAACCAGUUAUUUGGAAAUCAUCUUCUCAGGAGCUGGAGCUCAGGUGGUGCUGUGUUGAGCCAGGAGCUGAACUCAGUGAUCCUUAUGGGUCCCUUCCAGCUUGGGAUAUUCUGUGAUUCUAUGAUCUUCAGAAGAAACCUAAAGCAAGCAGGGAAUGGCAUUCAGAUCUUUUGCAGUUCACACUGCUGCCUUAGUUACAGGGUGACAUAUCCUCCUUAGAAACUGAAAAUAAAACCAGAAGAGAGGAAAAGCACUCCCAGAUCCUCUCCCACUCUUUUUUCUCCAACUAACAUAUGAUCACGACACUGUCCUUGAAGAGAACUCAGUUACAACACCGUGACCUAACACAGCUUUAUCUUACAGAACGUUCCCCGCCUCUGUCCACACCCUCCUCCCUCAAAGUACUGGCAGAAUCGAAGGGGAAAAUUAUAUAUGAAGGGAAAGAACAAUGAAUACUUGGUAGUACAGAACAAAAGAGAUUUGCAAGGAGGGUGGGGAAUCAAGGAAAUUAAGAGCUGUCUGGGAUACACAGUAUAAGUGUGUCAAGGCAGAGAAGAUCUGGUCCACAGGUGCUCCCUGCUCAUUAAAGCCAGCCUGAUGGUCUGCAGUGAAGGCCAGCUUCCUGCAGCAGCACACCCAUACUUGUUACCAUUUCAGUUUGUAGCUGGAAAGCACUUCAGAGUCUCCUUGUCUGAGCAGAGGGGACAAUAAAAGGUGCGUGCUGAAACAAGAAGUGGACAGGGACAGUCAUCUUCUACUUGUGGUUUGAUAUCUUUGUCAUCUGAGUGGGUUUUUGCCUCCUGUUACUUCACAAGACUAAGCUGAUAACGUAGGUAUUAAUUAUUGUAGGGAAUAUGCUGCUGACUGAGGAACUGCUCUACUGUAGGCACUUUGGAGUUGCGGCUGAUUCAAUGUACGGCUGCCAACUGGUGCUCCUUGGCGGAGCGUGCUUCGACUUCAUUUCCAGACUACAGUGGGCUGUCACAGGUGCCUGUAUGUGACAGAACUGCUUCCAGCUUGAGCAUCUGUAAUGAGCCGUGGGUUGUCUACUUGAAGCUGAAAAUGUUGAUAGAAGUGUAAUUGUGGCAGUACCUAAAAAAGCCAGUGUGUAGAAACAAAAUUGUCACUGGCUAGUUUUGUGUGCUCUUACAAGAACUUGAAACAACAGUGGUGAAGUGGGACUGCUUCAGAGAGAUGUUAAAACUGAGUGCAUCUGCUCUGAUUAUGACAUCAAUACUAAAGCCAAACCAUGGUAACUGCUAAUCCACUGUAUCUAGAAGAGCUCUUGGAAGGACAAAGGAUUAUCACUUUCUGCUGUUUGAAGUGUGAUCUGUGUGCAAUCUUGGGAGUUGUGCUGGCAAAACUGUCAAAGGGCAUGGUCAGUGUUUAAGAAAGACAAACCCUUGCACUUUGCCUGGAGUAGGUGCCUGGUGAAGAGUAUAUGAAGCUUAAAGACACCAAUUGGAAGAGGUCAGACACGCUCCAUGUUGGCUGAGUCUUGGGCAUUUCACGGUGUCAGAAUUCUGGCUCAAGCGAAGUUCUGGUUGUGUUUUGUUAAGUUGAAGACACAGUUGUCUCAGAAUACGUUGUGUUGUUACAUACUUGAGAACUGAAAAUCCUGGUUGGAUUCAGACCUGAUCUAGACAAGCAGCUCCUCUCUUCAGAAAGACCUAAAUCCAGACACUUGAUCUAAACAUGCCUGACCUGGAAAAAAGUUUACAUGCUCAUGCGGA